rnacentral:tRNA from 1 species
GCCGAAAUAGCUCAGUUCGAAGAGCGUUAGACUGAAAAUCUAAAUGUCUUUGGCUCGAUCCCGGGUUUCGGCG